GAUGAACGCUAGCGGCAGGCCUAAUACAUGCAAGUCGGACGGGAUUUGGGAGCUUGCUCCUAAUGAGAGUGGCGCACGGGUGCGUAACACGUAUGUAACCUACCUUAAUCAGGGGGAUAGCCUCUCGAAAGAGAGAUUAACACCGCAUAACAUAUUUUUAUGGCAUCGUAGAAAUAUCAAAUAUUUAUAGGAUUAAGAUGGGCAUGCGGAACAUUAGCUAGUUGGUAAGGUAACGGCUUACCAAGGCUACGAUGUUUAGGGGAUCUGAGAGGAUGACCCCCCACACUGGUACUGAGACACGGGCCAGACUCCUACGGGAGGCAGCAGUAAGGAAUAUUGGUCAAUGGGCGCAAGCCUGAACCAGCCAUGCCGCGUGCAGGAAGACGGCCCUAUGGGUUGUAAACUGCUUUUGUACCGGAAUAAACCCUUUUACGUGUAGAAGGCUGAAUGUACGGUAAGAAUAAGGAUCGGCUAACUCCGUGCCAGCCGCCGCCGUAAAAC
rnacentral:rRNA from 1 species